rnacentral:rRNA from 1 species
CAGCGCCACAAGUGGGGACCAUUAUUAUUGGGCCUAAAGCGUUCGUAGCCGGUCAAAUAAAUCUUCUGUGAAAUUGUUUUGCUUAACUUAACAGCUUGCAGGAGACACUGUUUGACUUGAGAUCAGGAGGAGUCAGAGGUAUUUGAGGGGUAGCGGUAAAAUGCAAUAAUCCUUCGAGGACCACCUGUGGCGAAAGCGUCUGACUAGAAUGAUUCUGACGGUGAGGAACGAAAGCCAGGGGAGCGAACCGGAUUAGAGACCCGAGUAGUCC